UACAGAGGGGGCCAGCGUUCUUCGGAAUUAUUGGGCGUAAAGGGCGCGUAGGCGGCCAUGCGUGUCUUCCGUGAAAUCCCUCGGCUCAACCGAGGACGUGCGGAAGAAACUGCAGGGCUCGAGUCCGGAGGAGGGGGGCGGAAUUCCCAGUGUAGCGGUGAAAUGCGUAGAUAUUGGGAGGAACACCAGUGGCGAAGGCGGUCCCCUGGGCCGGAACUGACGCUGAGGCGCGAAAGCGUGGGUAGCAAACGGGA
rnacentral:rRNA from 1 species